AUGGCGAUCAUGAUGGCCAUGAGCUCCUUUGCCGGCGCCGGCGCCGCCGUCCUGCCGCGCUGCUCGGCUAGCCGCUUCGGCGCCCAGUCUCUGCCAGCGCUGGGCAGACGCGCCCUCGUCGUCAGGGCACAGACCGGGGGCCCGAGCGCACCACCGCCAAACAAACCCAAGGCGAGCACCUCUAUCUGGGACGCGCUGGCGUUCAGCGGCCCUGCGCCGGAGCGCAUUAAUGGGCGCCUGGCCAUGGUGGGUUUCGUGACGGCGCUCGCCGUGGAGGCAGGGCGCGGCGACGGGCUCCUUUCGCAGCUCGGCAGCGGCACCGGGCAGGCGUGGUUCGCCUACUCCGUGGCGGUGCUAUCCGUAUCUUCUCUGGUGCCGCUGCUCCAAGGAGAGAGCGCCGAGGGCAGAGCCGGUAUCAUCAUGAACGCCAACGCGGAGCUCUGGAACGGCCGCUUCGCCAUGCUCGGACUCGUCGCUCUGGCGGCAACGGAGAUCAUCACUGGCGCGCCCUUCAUCAACGUGUAA
rnacentral:rRNA from 1 species